AUUCCGUAGGUGGACCUGCGGAAGGAUCAUUACUGAGUGAGGGCCCUCUGGGUCCAACCUCCCACCCGUGUUUAUUGUACCCUGUUGCUUCGGUGCGCCCGCCUCACGGCCGCCGGGGGGCUUCUGCCCCCGGGUCCGCGCGCACCGGAGACACUAUUGCCCUCUGUCUGAAGAUUGCAGUCUGAGCAUAAACUAAAUAAGUUAAAACUUUCAACAACGGAUCUCUUGGUUCCGGCAUCGAUUGUGAAGAACGCAGCGAAAUGCGAUAACUAAUGUGAAUUGCAGAAUUCAGUGAAUCAUCGAGUCUUUGAACGCACAUUGCGUCCCCUGGUAUUCCGGGGGGCAUGCCUGUCCGAGCGUCAUUGCUGCCCUCAAGCACGGCUUGUGUGUUGGGCUCCGUCCCGCCGGGGACGGGUCCGAAAGGCAGCGGCGGCACCGAGUCCGGUCCUCGAGCGUAUGGGGCUUUGUCACCCGCUCUGUAGCGCCGGCCGGCGCCAGCCGACAACCAAUCAUCCUUUUUUCAGGUUGACCUCGGAUCAGGUAGGGAUACCCGCUGAACUUAA
rnacentral:rRNA from 1 species